rnacentral:lncRNA from 1 species
AAAAGAUUUUACAAUAUUUUGAACUCACCACGGUUUUCUAUUAAGGUAUGUCAAAUUUUAUAUCACUUCAUGUUUAUUGGUUACCAACACUCUAUUAAACUGUGCUAAAACUCAAAGAUAAAGACUUCUGCAGAGUGACCAAGGGGUGUUUCUUCCAUCUUUGUGUGUCCACUUAAUAGCCUAUCCAAAGUGUAUUAUGUAUCAGUAUGCAAGGUCAUUUCUGAAGAAACCAAUUUAAUUUCCACAUUCUAU